GGGGCUGUGUCAUGGCGAGAUCAGGCAUCACUGGAGGCUCCCUGAUCCGCUCGCGAGCCAGAUUUCCUCCCUGGGGUCUGACUGCCAGGCUCAGCGCAGACUGUGUGACAGACAAACUGCCGUCUAUGGCAGCCCACAGUGGACCACAGCAAUAGGAAGAACAAAGCCCAAUGGCAGGCAUUUGCACGCCUUCCCACCAUGGACGUCAUUUGGGGGGGGGACACAGGGGACAUGUCCCCUGCACUUUUUCAAAAGGCCGUUUUUUUCCCCUGCAUUUUUUACCGUCACGUCAAGCAUUAGGACCAAGCAGAAAACGGCUGCUGAAGCUGAAGCCUGUUUCCCUUAGUUUAGACCCACCCACAAGCUCCUCGAUUGGCUCUGCCGUUUCUUGUGUGAUUGGCUGUCACUCCAUCUUGCUUGCACACCGGUCUGCUAGUUGCCCAGGAGUCCUUAUUAGUCUGCCACUGUAAAUUGGGCGUUUGUUCUGCCUGGGUCACGUCAGCUAGAAGGAUUGCAAUAUCAGAGGUUUCAUUUACAUUAACGUUUGAAUCGGUGUCCAUGUGCGUGCGUGCGUGCGUGUGUGUGUUACUACUUACACUGAAUUAUGGACAUUUUAUUAAAUUUCUCCCCACCUGUGAUAUUCCUGCCAGUUUGACCUGCCCACCACUGGGUGGUGCUAUGUAAAUGAGGUCUGUUUACCAUAUAUUCCAAAAAUAAGUGUAAAAUUGGUGGUACUGAGUUGGAGUGAAGUUGACUAACAAGGUGAAACACAGCUUUACAACCAGUCAAACCAAAAAGGGAACAGUAAACUUAAAAGUAGCAAUAGAAAACUAGAAGAAUUGCUAGAAAACACAGUGAACUGAAAGAGUUAGAGUUUUAUUAAAAAUACUUGUGUGUACGUGUCCCCCCCACCUCUGAAAUCAAAAUUCCGUCCUUGCUUCUCACAGUCAAGAUCAGUGCAUUUCACGCAUUACAGACAUAACAAGACAAAAAUUAGUCAAAAGCUGUAACAAGACGAAACAAACAAGAGUGGGAGAUUCAACCCUAUUUGAAGUUUCAGAUUUGUCCUUCAGAGAAAAUAGAGAACCUUUUUACUUUUAUACUUUUAGUAUAUUUCAGAGCCUGUACUUUUCACUUUUACUUGAAUAAAUAAGUUGAUUCAGUACUUCUACUUUUACCAGAGUAUCUGUACUUCUACUUGAGAAAAGAGUGUGUAUAGUUUUGCCACUUCUAACACCUAAGUGCAAAUUUAAAGGGCUAGUUUGGGUUUUUUGAAUCAGGGUUGUAUGAGGAAACCUGCAGUAGACAGAAGUCAGAGCGCCCCCAGUUUGGAGAAGCAGACUGGAGUCCUGGCAGGGAAGCAGAGCAAUGCACUGCUGAAUAUUUUCCACCUUAAAAUAAUCUACGUCAGUUUUGCGAGACACUAUAUUAAGAACAUUUUCACCUCUUUACCUCGCCUUGCUUAUAGGAAUACAGCAGUUAUAGGUUGAGACAACGUAGCGUUUACAAUGAGACGUAUAAAAAUACGUUUGGUAUUCUGUCUGUUUUUUUUUACCCAUUCAAAACAAUCACCACAGUUUUACGCAUACAAACAUUUCAAUCACCCUGCUGCCUUCAGUCACGACUGCUGACACAUACUACAAUACCUGUCAGAAGUGACAUGUUUUUCAGCGUGUACCUGUAUAUUUAUCUCUUUAGUAUUCUACUGUAGAAGUGAUAUGUUUACAGUUUUAUAUUGUUUAACUUAUAGCUUGCGAGGUGGAAGAAACUGACAUAAACCAUCCAUAAUCACAAUUUAUUAUUAUAAGAUUAUCCUUAUUGCUUGUAAACUUAUUUUAUUUUUUAUGUAAGUGACGCUAUUCACUCACAGUAAGCACUAACUACCAGACCAUCUUGUAUUCCUUCUUCCCUGUUGUUGCAGUGAGAUUUGUUAAUGUGGAACAUCUUAACGAUCAGUGUUACGGGCGUAAAUGUCCAAAUAUGUCAUCCAAUCAUGAAACCAUACAAGUCUCAGUCGUCUAAUUCCUGUUUGGCUGUUUCUGUUCAGCCUGUUUAUGUAUUUGUUUGGAUGAUUGAAUGCAGCCGUGAUGUUUCUUUUGCACCGUCACAUUUCAUUUUCAUUAAUUCCUCCGUCUGUGUUCUGCUUCUUUGUCUGCCUCACUUUCAUUUUUCCAAUUCAUUUUGUUUCUGUCUCGGUCUGUCACUCUCUAUCUUCUUUUCUCACAUCACUUCAGACACAUAUUUCAGAGAAAGCACUAAAACAGAAUGCACAAAUAUUUCUCUCGUAAUCUCAGACUCUUACAAUCACUCUUUGUGAACUAGAACAGCUCAUUUUCAGAACCACAAAGCGGACAAUCAAAGAUCUAACGCUGCUGAUUUUGUAGAUACAAAAACCCACAAAAAACUCCUCUCUUGCUAAUCAGAGUUUCUGUAACUAUAGGCAGAUUCAAUAGUUCUUUGUCAGUACGUGUGUCUUUUUGAAGGGCUUUAUUUCUUGCUUUAUUAUGUCAGAGAGAGAAGAGACAUCUGAAGAACACAUAUGCAAUUGUCUGAAUAUAAUGUGUUCAUUCAUACAGUAUCAAACUUUAGCUUCAUUUCUAGCAAGCAAGUCAGCAUGUGAUGCAUCUUUACUUUGAUCUCUAUUUUCUCUAUAUUCUUAACUCCUGCCCCUUUUUGCUCUGUGCACCAAUAACAGUUGAGCAAACCUAAGUCGACUUUCUUCUUUCCUGUAGAUGUGCUAUGUGCUAGCCUCGUCUAUGUUGAAAAGACAGAUUUUAAGUAGGUUAAAAGAUGUUGCUGUAAAAGCGUAAAAGUCUUUACUGACACAUUACAUAUAGUCACAUGUGGCUAGUGGUAACAAAAUGCUAGAUAAAUGGCUAGCUAACUUAAUAGCUACAUCAAGAGGAAUUCACCUGAUGUCAGAUUGUCAAUGUUAGCCUUAUUACUGUGGUAACAUUAAAGAGAUUUGCUCUUGUU